rnacentral:lncRNA from 1 species
GGGGAAAAAGAACAGAACCAACCUGAUAUUUCUGUCUGGGAACCGGGUGCUGAAGUGGAUGGAGAGAAGUCAUGGAACUGAAAAAGCACUGACUGCUCUGCUUAAGUGUGGAGCAGAGGAUCAUGUGGAAGCAGUGAAAAAGCUCCAGAACUCCACCAAGAUCCUGCAGAAGAAUAACCUGAAUCUGCUCAGAGACCUGGCUGUGCACAUUGCCCAUAGCCUCAGGAACAGUCCAGACUGGGGAGGUGUGGUCAUAUUACACAGGAGACCCUCCUGUUCUUAACUGUGGGCGAUGAGAAAGGUGGUGGACUCUUCUUACUGGCAGGGCCACCUGCGUCUGUGGAGACCCUGGGGCCCAGGGUGGCUGAGGUCCUGGAAGGCAAAGGAGCAGGGAAGAAAGGCCGUUUUCAGGGCAAGGCCACCAAGAUGAGCCGGCGGAUGGAGGCGCAGGCGCUUCUCCAGGACUACAUCAGCACGCAGAGUGCUAAGGAGUGAGGGCUUAGGGCACUCACCUCCUGUUUCCACAGGAAUCUUUUGGUCAAUAAAAUAGAUUGACUCAGAA